rnacentral:rRNA from 1 species
AGAGCGAACGCUGGCGGCAGGCUUAACACAUGCAAGUCGAGCGGGCGUAGCAAUACGUCAGCGGCAGACGGGUGAGUAACGCGUGGGAACGUACCUUUUGGUUCGGAACAACCCAGGGAAACUUGGGCUAAUACCGGAUAAGCCCUUACGGGGAAAGAUUUAUCGCCGAAAGAUCGGCCCGCGUCUGAUUAGCUAGUUGGUGAGGUAAUGGCUCACCAAGGCGACGAUCAGUAGCUGGUCUGAGAGGAUGAUCAGCCACAUUGGGACUGAGACACGGCCCAAACUCCUACGGGAGGCAGCAGUGGGAAUAUUGGAUAAUGGGCGCAAGCCUGAUCCAGCCAUGCCGCGUGAGUGAUGAAGGCCCUAGGGUUGUAAAGCUCUUUUGUGCGGGAAGAUAAUGACGGUACCGCAAGAAUAAGCCCGGCUAACUUCGCGCCAGCAGCCGC